UACUUACCUGGACGGGGUCUAUGGCUGAUCAAGAAGAGCCCUGGCCUAGGCUAGUGGCCCAUAUUGCACUUUGUGGGUGUGCUGGCUUACCAUCUCCCCUUUGAGGGAGAGUGGACGUCAUAA
rnacentral:rRNA from 1 species